UACGGAGGGUGCGAGCGUUGUCCGGAAUCACUGGGCGUAAAGGGCGCGUAGGCGGCGCGAGCAGUCGAUCGUGAAAGUCCGGAGCUCAACUCCGGAUCGGCGGUCGAUACUCUCGUGCUUGAGCACUGUAGAGGCAGAUGGAAUUCCGGGUGUAGCGGUGGAAUGCGUAGAGAUCCGGAAGAACACCGGUGGCGAAGGCGGUCUGCUGGGCAGUUGCUGACGCUGAUGCGCGACAGCGUGGGGGAGCAAACAGG
rnacentral:rRNA from 1 species